AUACGGAGGGUGCAAGCGUUAUCCGGAAUCAUUGGGUUUAAAGGGUCCGCAGGCGGUCAAUUAAGUCAGAGGUGAAAUCCCAUAGCUCAACUAUGGAACUGCCUUUGAUACUGGUUGACUUGAGUUAUACGGAAGUAGAUAGAAUGUGUAGUGUAGCGGUGAAAUGCAUAGAGAUUACACAGAAUACCGAUUGCGAAGGCAGUCUACUACGUAUAUACUGACGCUCAUGGACGAAAGCGUGGGGAGCGAACAGGAUUAGAAACCCCAGUAGUCC
rnacentral:rRNA from 1 species